UAGUGGACUGAGUUGGGCUGAGUGGCUGUUUGGAUCUGCUAAUGUCCGGAACUCGGUGAACACACCACGCGGAGACCCUUGUUGACCCUGGUUUCUUCCAUUCAACCUGCUUUUUCAGGGGUUUUAGGGAAAUAAAGGGAGGGGGCUGUGGCAUGAAAUGAAAUUAAGGCAUUUGAGGUGCAUAGAUACACUAAUAAAUGAAAAAAUACACAAAAAAACACUUUUUGGUGAGUUUUCUUUGCUGUUGUUGAGAGUUGUCAGUGUAAGUUAGGUGUGGCCAACAUUAACCACAAAAUAAAUAGACAUUAAACCAGUUAAAUCUCGGCGGCUUAGUGUGGCAAAGGCAAAGUGUGAUGCUACAUUUAUUUUCUCUUGAUAACGUGCAAGUGGAUCUCAUUAUCGUGAAAAAAGGAUAAAAAAAAGUAGGGUAGGCCGGAAUUGGCUUCCGUAUGACUAGAUCCAUGUAUGUUUCUUUAUUUACUCGUCUGAGUUGAUAUCUGGCGCAAAAAUGUACGGCUGGACAGCUCCAAUAUUGCUAAACAUUUUGUUUUUGUGCUAGCAAUGUUACCAUGAGGAUGUGAGGGGCUUUAAGCUGGCAGAAGACCAUGUAAACAAAGGGAUGAUGGGAAAUGAGGGAUGGCCCAUUUGAGAAGGCAAAUUUCUUGCCGCUCUGUAGAUACUGUGUAUUAGAAAAUGACACAGGCUUUGUUUAUUUAGCCUGAAAACUGCAUAAUCAUAAUUAAAAGACCACUGGGAUUUAAAACGCUGAAUGUGCUGUUUAUUUUUUUUUAUUGUAUAGUUACUAACAGAAAUGAAUUGUUUUAGUGUCAUAGUUUUCCUUUUAGGAACAUUUGUGAUAAAGUUAAAAUUUUUAUAUUUCUUCUCAAUGCUUUCAUUAAAAUGUGGAAACUGAUUGAUUGCAGUUUGUCAUUUGUGCCUCUAGAUGUCACUACAUGUCUUCUGGUUGAAGUGAACGUCACAGAGCAUCUUACCCGUCCAGGUGCGAUAGACAGGAAGUUUGAGAGCAGGCUGCUGGUUUUCUGGAUUUGAUAAAGUGUUGGACCUCUCCAGGGCGCACACACUCUUCAGCUCCCUCAUCCCGUCAUCUCCUAUCUCCUCCGUCUCACUGGACUCUAAUGGUGAAAAGGUCGGCCCACCCGCAGUCCAGAGCAACUUUGGCUUCGGGUGACCUCCUUUCAACAAAAUGGAGAAGACGCCGACACCCUCGCC
rnacentral:lncRNA from 1 species